AGUGCAAGUAGCUCAAGCCAAGCAAGGUCGAAGCCAGGUUGACCACGUGACCGUAUGUCAACGGACCGUCAAGGCCUGUUUCAUCGGACCGCUCUGCCGAUCUCUCGGCGUGGAGGAAACGUAAACAAAGGAAAUGUACUCUCUUGUCCAUUUUUUGGCGGAAAAUGACGUCGCAGUUGUCCCUACCUGUUGGGUGUGCAAUGGCUGCACGGCAUGGCCACCCUACAAAUCAAAUCGGUUGAUGAUGGCAAUUAGAGAGCGUGAAGAGCUUUCGACUGACUGGGCCACAUUCUCCUGUCAGGUGAUGGCAUCAUGUUUGACAUAUGAAGAUGCAAAGUACAAAGAAAAAAAAUUCGGGAGCGACGUCCGACCUAACAUUGAAUAAUGAAGAGCGGGAGAAGAGAAAAAGGAAGAGACUGCAGCAUACUCUUUCUUCAUUUGAGGAUGAGGACUUCUAUGACCAAGGUGUAUGCACCUAAAUUUCUGCAACACCUUUGUAUUCGGGAUUCAUUUGCCCUCCUUUUUCAUCAAGCUUGCCUCUUAUCCAGGAACGACGUAACACUCAGCCAGCCCCUCAACUUCCAGAACGUGCACCAGAGCCCAAGCAAAAACGCACACGUGUAUGUUUGCUUUUUGUUGCUGCAAUUUCUUAACGCUUUCCAGCAUUUAGAUUUUUUAUUUUAUGUGAUUAGCCUCAGCUUGGUUAGCCGCAAUUGUGAUAAUGGAUGGUAUCCAUAUUGUUUAUUGAGCACCUGCUGUUUUGGUGUUUCUUUUAGAGCGCAGCUCUUAGGUGCCCGUUUCCGGCUUGAGUGGUGUCGCCGUCACCGUAACCGCGGCGACGUUUCGGCAAGGUUACGUUUCGGCACCAUGCCAAAUUGUCCUCGCGGGGUCACGUGACCCCCGUCAGGAGGGUCACGUGACCUCACGGUUACGGCGACACCGCUCAGAGGGAGGUGUGGCAGGGAGGAGGGGUAUACCCUUUCCUCGGGACCCUUCCCUCCUCCUCUAGAGCUGCACUCUAAUUUAGCGUUACAGGGAGUUGUAAACGGCUUUCAUUUUUUUAUCUAGUCAUUUUUAAUUUUACAAAGCUGCUAGUUGUGGUAUGCUUCCUCGCACAAGGACAGUUAUAGCCUAAGGGAUGGUGAAGUGGAUAUUUUUAAUUUGACGGUGCAUAUGUUUGCUUUGUAUUGCUGCAACCUCAUGUUUGCAUAAUUCUGCUGUACUAGUCAUUUUUAUUUUACAAUUUAAUUUAUUUUGUUUAUUUAUCUAUGCUUUCUGGUCAAAGGAUUGAUUAGAAUGCUUGCUGUUUGUGCACUCUAACCCUAGCACUUUUUAUGAACCUGUCCUCUGCUUUAUAUGUGGAAUGGUUUGGGCAGCGUUAGGAUUGACCACUUCUUAAAGAAAGGUGGUACAUUUUGUUUUACACCACCGAGCACUCUUUGGUGUAAGGUACAUUACCAUAUAGCUGAAUGACACAAUCAGCUAUACACGUUUGCAAGCAGUCAUGUUUCCAAAAGUAGUCUAGCCACCAUGGGUAGGGAAACGUGCUCUCAGGGUACCAAUCUGUCAAUUAGGUUAGUGACGCUUUAGCAAGCCUUCAUAAUCGGAUUAUCUGGGGUGCACCCGAGCUGGAAGAUGGCAGCGCGCAAGGGCCCGCCAUUUUGCAGACUCUGUCUCAUUUUUGUUAGUGAGAGAAAACAAAGGCUUCUUCACUAUCAUCUAGGAAAACCACAUGUCCAAUAUUAUCUCCAUUUAAAUCUUUAUGAAAUGGAUCAGCAAACUGCUAACCCUAGCUGACAAUGUAGGCGCAAACGACAGCGCAGUUGCUACUACGGCUUCAGUGCACCAAACAUCAAUUUACUAUGUCAGGUGCAUUGUUACGUUUUCUUUGUUUUUUCCAUGCACAGUCAGUCCUUGACUUGAGCAAUGUCUUCUCCAAAAGUUGGUUCAGCGGUGUCCGCAUGAUUGGCACAGACCUGGAUGUGCACGUUUCUCAUGGUUCACCUCUGUUAAAUAAUAAUGGCAUUGUUUGCACAAUGUUCACAUACUCAAUGGCUUAUUUAUGUACUAUUUAGUAGACCUCGCUGCAUACUAAUGUUCCUGAGAUAUUUAUUCCUUUGAGAAAACUUGGCUUUAGCGUAGGUUGCAGUGGUGCGGAUGUCGUCCGACACGGAGCAGACAACACUCAGGCCAGUCUGUUUGCGUCGUCCUCGCAGGGGUAGCAUAUCAUCAUUUGUACCAUGGGAUUGGUCAUGUCUCCUCCGUCUCUGCCAUUGUUGCCUGUAGAAGCCGAUGUUUCGGGUUUUAUUUGGGCUAUGUUUAAAGCAAAAUUGCAUAGGAAAUAUUCCACCAAUGCAUGAAAUAAAAUAGUUAUUUUUAUAUUUCUUUUUAAAUUUAUUUUUUAUUUUUAUUUAAAGUCUUAUAAUUCCAAAAGUUUUGGAAUUAAGCAGAGUUGCCUUUUAACAACAAAUGGCUAUAGCUAAACAGGGCACACAAGUGAGGAGCUUUUUUUUUUCUAAAAAGGCGAAAACCACAUGAAGCAAAACAGAUAAAUUGGUAUGUUUGCUUAUCAGUAUAGCUUUGAGCCAUGUGCCGCAGCCACCUCUGCUGUGGUUUUUAUAGCGUACUCUGACCGAUUUCACUGUAGUAGCAUUUGAGAUCGAUGGACCAAC